rnacentral:rRNA from 1 species
UACAGAGGGUGCAAGCGUUGUUCGGAAUUAUUGGGCGUAAAGCGCGUGUAGGCGGCCUUGCAAGUCGGGUGUGAAAGCCCUCAGCUCAACUGAGGAAGCGCGCCCCGAAACUGCAGAGCUUGAGUACCGGAGAGGAUGGCGGAAUUCCCCAAGUAGAGGUGAAAUUCGUAGAUAUGGGGGAGGAACACCGGUGGCGAAGGCGGCCAC